AAUGCAUACUAAUAUAAAGCAGUAAUUAUCACCAAAGUACAACAAAUCGUGAUAAAACUAGAUUUUUAUUUAAAAUUAAUUCUAGGAAUCUAGAGUGGAUGAACUGCCUUAUUGGAAUUAAAAUUAUAAAUACAGUGCAACCUAACAAUACAAUACAUAACAAAUCGGAAGGGAACAAGUGAAUACUCGUUAUAUCAAGUAAUUUGGUAAACUGAGGUUUGUUUGAUUAGGGUUAGGUUGGUCUACCAUUUGUUAUAACGAGUUGAAAAUCUUUGAAAAUUUAGUUGAAUAAAGAGGUUGUUCGCAAGAAAUCUUCGCAAUGUGAAGGUAUAUUUUACAUCAACUCUUAUGGACAAUUCAGCGGGUUAAGAAAAAUUUGUUAAAUCGAGGACAUUAUUAUAUUCAGGUCAAAUUCCAACUUUAUCAUGAUUAGCGCAAAACGUUUUAAUUGGUCAAAAGGAAAUUCAACAUAUAAAUCUGAAAAUUUUACACGCUUAAUUGGGACUCAGAGUUUCAGGUCUAAGCAGGCCUAUGCACAAAAACUGUCAAGUUAUAUGGAUGAAAAUAACAUAACAAUAAAUUAAUGAAUAAAUUAGUGAACAUAAUUGAAAACUACGAAAGAAAAAAACAGAAAUGAACCAUUUCUUAUGCAUUUUAAAAUACUAUGCACUUAAUAAGAGCUAAAGCAGUUUAAGAGUGGAAAAGACGUUGAAAAAUAUUUAAAAACAGAUGAGAGAAACAUCUAAAUUGUAAUAGGUUAAAUGCAGUUUCUAAUUGAACUAACAACAAGGUAAUUAAAAUUAAAUCUCUAUGAUUACAAUCACCAUUAUUCUGAAGAUACGGUGCCAGAAUUUGUUAAAAUGAGAAAUAAAGUGAAGAUAUGGAUUAUGAUGCAUAGGAAAGUGACUAAAUAAGUUAAAAUGUUGCCGUACUAAGCCGAAACAAACAUUUAUCAGAUUAAAAAAAUAUCUCAUAUUAUUGGAAAGUAUGAAUAGAAAACUUAAAAUGAAAAUUUGAUUUCAAGCCUAAGAUGCUUUCACAUGGAUAAAGUAACAGUAGUAUUAUUCUGUUGGGAUUUACAAAUAUAAUUAGAAGAAAUAAUAAAACUACAGGACGUUGCUGAAAAAAUUACAUUUUUGAGUACAUACAAAUACUCGUGGGGAGAAAUUUUACUAAUAGACAAUUUUAUGGUUUGGAUUGAGAAUACACCUGAAUUUGAGCAGUUUAAUAGGACCCAACUGAACAAAACCUUUCAAGGAUUUUAGAUUUUAGGAUUCUCAAGGAAGGAUUUAUUUUGACUCAUAUAUUUUUGGAGAAAUUUAGGCUGCAUAUCAGAUCAGAUAAGAAGAACACAAGCCACAGACUGAUACAUCCAAAUUUUAACUCAAGUAUAAUUUUCAAUAAAUUAAUGUAGCAGAUCAUUUUAAAAGUGACAAGCCAUUGUUAGGAAAAAAGCGUUAGUAAUUUCUCAGUCUUUUUGUAAUGCCCGACAUCAUAAUCUUAUUAAGUGCGUUUCCAGAGAUCUUUUUUGCCACGUACCAUCCGGCUAUGGAAUGAGCUCCCCUCCACGGUGUUUCCCGAGCGCUAUGACAUGUCCUUCUUCAAACGAGGCUUAUGGAGAGUAUUAAGCGGUAGGCAGCGGCUUGGCUCUGCCCCUGGCAUUGCUGAAGUCCAUGGGCGACGGUAACCACUCACCAUCAGGUGGGCCGUAUGCCCGUCUGCCUACAAAGGCAAUAAAAAAAAAAAAAAAAAAAAAAAAAAAGGUCUAAUCUUUUUCAUAUUAUGUAAUCAUAAAUCUAAUCGAUUAAUACGUGUCUUAGACUAAUUUGCAAAACAAUUUAAAAAUUUCUGGGCAGUCAAAUGUUUUUUAUGUUUUUAGGUGAACGAACGAAACAAAAAUAUCUAACAGUCCAAAGUAUAUCUAAUACUUUAAUACAAAAAAAAAUGUUAGCAUAGCACAAGUAAUAAAGCAUAUGUAGCACAAGCCAGUUGAAUAAAUAUGAAACGAAAUAUAAAAAUCGAUAAUAAUGUUGAACAAAAUGCUUGAAAAAAUCCAAAAUGAAAGAUGCUAAAUAUCGGAUAUACGUUAUGAUAAAAGCGUAGUUGCAGCAGCUUUAAUUUGUUGAUACUUUCGGAUCUAAAUAAAAGGAAUAACGGAACUUUAUUUCCCAAUCGAGACUUAAAUAACUUAACAAAUUCAUUAAAAUGUCCAAUUAUGAAACAAACUACAGUUUCUAGAUAGGUAAAUACAGAUUUAAGUUGUUUAGCACGUAUUGAAGUGAGGAAAUAUUAAAAACCAAAAAAUGUUACUAUUAUUAAAUUUCAAUAUUAUUAUAAAAAGAAGAACAGCAGAAUUAAGAUUAAUAAUUAAUAAUUCAUUACUUAUUUCAUUAAAUCUUACAGAUCUCCGGUAUUUCAGCUCUACGUGACAAUAUCAAAUAUUUAUUCGCGAAUUAUUAUUAAAUUUAUGUAAUACCAAUAUAGUUUGGCUCAUUUACUACUCGAGAUUCGAAGUGCUGACCCAAUAAGAGAAUCAUCGAAAGAAGGAUUAAUUUACAACGAAUAAGUGUUGAUUUAAAAUAAGUUUUAAAAAGGUGUGGAAAUUACAAAACAAUGUUUUGACAAAACAGAUGUCUGAUGAAAAUAUAGAGCGUUUUGGACUGGAUAUGGAAUAACUUCAAAGUAGAAAAAACAUUUUAAACCUGUCUGGAAUAGUCAAUAUUUUUAAAAGAAAUGUUUUAACAACUGCAGAUUUUGUGGAAAUCCGUAUAACUGAAAAAAAAUGUAUUGUAAAACGAAUAUAAUUCUAACAAACACAAUUGUGAGUAAAUAGUAAAAUAAAAAUCUAAAACAAAUUAAUAACAUUGAAGAGACUAAAUAAAUUCAGAAGGCUAAAGAUUUUUCAUAAUUUUCCCUGUAGGUGAAGUUUAAAAUGGAACGAAACAGAAUUAAUACGAGAAUUCCAUAAAUUUACAAUUAGAAAAUGCCAGAAAUGAAAGACAAAACAUUUUAUCCAUUAGUCUUAUUCAUUGAAGAAAACGAAUACGUAAUACAGAUGUUUAAACCCGUAUAUCCCUAGCCUAAUUUAAACCAUGACAUAUAUUAUGAAAACUUUAUAAACACAAAACAGCAAUAAAAAUUAAUUGGUUUCUUUUUUUUACAAUCAAGAUCAUUAUCGUCAUAAGAAUGAAUGGUAAUUCGGUACCUACCAUAACUAAUUCUCAACAAGCUGGGUAGCUCUAACAAGUUGACCAUUCGUGGGUAUCGGGUAGUUCAGAAGCGAAUUUGAAAAAGUUUUAAAUACCUGAGUAAAUCGCAUAAUGCUCGGUUAAACUGGAUAAUAAAUGGAAAUGAUUUUAAAACAAGGAGGUUUCGACAUUUUAAAGGUUUAUGAAAAUUAAAACACAUUUAAUCUUCAUUGCUUAUAAACCUUCAUUUAUUUGGAAGUAUUGUAUUGUUCCUGCAGAAUAUAACAAAAUUAUAAAUUAAGAACUUCGUGCACGAGGAAAUUUGUCGUUAAUAAAAUAUGAGACUUUUAAUCGCUUAAAGAAAAUUUUAUGUCGUACAGACGUAGGUACAGUCUGAAUAACGGAUAAUCGGAAUUAUACAUAAUAACACAAGUGCGUGUUUGUGAUGUGGUUUUAUUGCAGUUAUUUUUUAUAAUUUAUAAAUGAUAUAUUGGAUGUCUGUUGAAUGUGUGUUAUCGUUUAAUAUGAAAGUAAUUGUUGCUGCAAUAUAUUAAAAUGUGUAGGUAGUAGGAAUUCGUGUUCUGAAAUAAAAGUUGUCAGUGAAAUGCAAAUCCAUUCUUAAUAUUUGAAUAAGGUGUGUUUUUAUUAAAAUCGUUAAAAAAGUUCAAAAUUCUGGUGCCAUACAAUGAAUCUGUCUAGAAUUGAUACUGAUGGGAGUGAAAAAAUAUGUCUAGUUAAUGUUUGAAAAGUGCAGAAUAGUGCCAAUUUUUAUAAUGUGAUGUGUGCAAUAAAAUAUUAUGAAAUUGAAAUGACCAGUAAAUUUGAGUAAAAUUACGAAAAUUUACUAAAACUAUUUUUGUUGACACCUAAUGUAUUUUCCGACUGGCAUUGACACAGCAGAUGCAGAUCAUUGAAUUCAAAUUCUGAAAAGACAAACAAGGAACAGGAAAAUAUAAAUGAGUCUUUAUGAAAUGUUCAGCAGUUAUGUACUUAUGGAGUGGGCUAUAAUAAAGAUAUGAAUUUUCAAAAGAAAAGUAGCAAUAACAGUUUAGAAAACAAUGUCUACAGAAACAAAACUUUCUAAAAAUUGAGUUUAAAAAAAGCAUUAUCCCUCCAUAUAGAAUUAAUAUAUUUUUGUUAAAUCAUGAUCUCUGUAAGCUAUUACAUAAAUCUAUUUUAUAAGUAGACAUACUAUGCCUAGAUAUAACUUUGUAUAAGAAUGAGGGGAUUACCAUAAAUUUUGAAAACUAUUGUAUACAGUAUAUGUAUAUUAGUACUUAUAUGGUGUUCUGUUAUAACUGUCAUUUAUUUUCUGAUAGAGUAUUCAAACUGAAUUUGACAAAAUUAAAGAUUGGUAUUGUAAUGUUUACAGUGAAAUCCCGUGGAUUACAAUAUGAUUUGCAUUCCAACCCAUAGUAGUAGUUUACUGAUGCUGGAACAACAGUGAGUGAGGGUUAGAAAUUAAUAUUUAAACAAUAUUUGAAACAAUUAAUAGGACAGAAUAUCAAAGAUUUUUUAAUUAAUUUUAUGUUUAUCCUUUUUAAAUACUAACCAUUUACUGAUGAUGAAUAUAAUUUUUUGAAUAUAAUUGUAUAAUAUAAUAUUUGUUUUCAUAGUAUACAUGUUUAAAUAUAUCCAUGUUUAUAACCAAAAUUACCGUAGUAUGAAUUUUUAUUUAUUAUGUAUAGUAUACUUUUUCAGUACACUUAAAAACCUUUUUGUUAAAAAACUCGUAACAGUAGGUAUCAUUGUAGUUUGAAGGAAAUUAAAAUUUAUAUAAUAAGUGCUUCAUUGUUUUCUUUAAAAUUAUAAUUUUAGUCUUUGUUGGCUUGAACGAAACAUUAAAACAAGAAAAAAUUUCAUUAGGUUUAAAUAAGAUAAAGAUAAUUACUAAGUUCUGUAUACAAUCUUAAGAAAACAUAGAAUCAGGAAAUAAGGCCAAUUGUAAAAGGCAUACACAUCUGUAUUGCCUGAGUAACUUUUUGUUUUCAUAAAUUAUAACUAGUUUAAAAAAUCUAUGAUGACCAAAGCCAGUACAUGUAAGUGCUUUAACAAAUUAGUACAACAAUAAUGAUGACAAAAUAUUUCAUAAAUGUUUCUAUGCAUCUAAGACAAUCCAAAGAUAUUCUACAGAUUACAUGAAAUGGACUUUAAUAUAUGGUUCCUAAAAUUAAAAUUAUGAAACAUAUUACUUACAUUAUAUUUAGUUCGAAAGUGCACAUCACUUUGCUAAUUACGUUUAAAUAAUAUAGGUAGAUAGCUAAUUUCUUACAAAAGCAAUUCUGACUAUAACAGAGUAAAAUAUGAGUAGGCAAUAAGUAUAUAUCUUAUCAUUUAUUCAUUAGUUUUCGUUUUGUAAUUAGGAAAACUUCAACUUACAAAGGGGAAUUCUAACUUAAGCAUAUUCAAGUAAGCAAUCUUAAUUUUUAAAACAAGGUCGGGUUUGUUCGAACAUUUACAACUCGAGAACGGCUCGACCGAUUUUCAUGGUUUUUGAUUCGUUUUAUUUGUCUCCGUCCCGAAUUGGAAAAUACCGAUUAAAAACAUUGGAAAUUUUACGAAAAAAUAGAAGGAAAGACCUGUUCAUCCCGUUGAUACGGUAAAUUCUCCCCUCAUGUUAAAGAACGUAUUUAAAUAACGGUUUCGGAUCGACAAGAUACAUCCACAAUAUUAUGAUAAUAGCGUAUUUUAGAUUUUUUUUAAAAUAGGCACCUAUCUACCUACCUGCUCACUUACCUACUUAAUGGAAAGGGAUUGAUAUACUGGUUGUCAAAUAUCUAAGCGUGCGUUCCACUGAAGUAGGAAACCUGGUCUAUGGUGCGUUCCGAUAUUUAUAUUGUAUACAAAUUAAGGAGAAAAUAUGUCAAGCUAUGAUACGCCUGGAUUGUACUGCCUUAAUGACAAAGUGAUAUUUACUUCAGCAAAUCAGCAAAUGUGAUAAACAUUGCGGUCGAUCGGUGUGAAUAUUAUUUCUAGUUAAAAGGUACUAAUUCCUAUGUUUACAAAUAUGUUAUCACCAUCAAAAAAUAAGAACUAAAAAACUGCAAUAGGACGCAAAUAGGUUCACUAACCAAAAGAAAAUGCUAUUUAUCUUCUAUAUUAAUUCAGUUCUUCUUCGUAAUUAUUACUUUGUUCAGAAAUCUAGCGUAAGACAAUCUAUAAUAAGUUGAUAACGAAUUAUUUGAUAAACAUUGCGGUUGAUCGGUGUGAAUAUUAUUUAUAGUAUAAGAGUAAUAAUACCUAUGUUUACAAGUAUUUUAUCCAGCUAUCAAAAAAUUAAAGCGAAUAAAAAACUGCAAUAAGACGCGAAUAGGUUCACUUACCGAAGGAUAGUUAGUAUUUAACUUUCACAUUUAGUUUGUUUUCGAAAUUAUUUACUUUGUUCAGAAAUCUGGCGUUAGACAAUCUAAAGGUAGUAAGUAGAUAACGAAUUAUUUGAUAAACAUAUCGGAUGAUCGGUGCGAAUAUUAAUUCGAGUUAUAAGUUACUAUUUAUCAAAUAUUUUUAUCAAACUUUCAAAAAAUUUAAGGAAUUAAAAAACUGCAAUAGGACACGACUAGGUUCACUUACCAAAGUAUAAUUGUUAUUUAUCUUCUAUAUAAAUUUACUUUGUUUUCGAUAUUAUUUACUUUGUUCAGAAAUCUGGCACUAGUUAAUCUAAAAGUAUUGAUAACGAAUUAUUUGAUAAAUAUUGCAAUUGAUCGGUAUGAAUAUUAUUUAGAGUUAAAUGGUACUAUGUAAUUCCUAUGUUUACAAAUAUGUUAUCAAACUAUCAACCAAUUUAAUGAACUAAAAAACUGCAAUAGGACGCGAAUAGGUUCACCUACCAACGGAUAGUUAUUAUUUAGCUUGUAUAUGAAUUUAGUUCUUUUUCAAAAUUAUUAACUUGGUUCAGAAAUUUGGCAUUAGAUGAUCUAAAAUUAGUUGAUAAUUAAUUAUUUGAUAAACAUCGCGGUUGAUCGGUAUGAAUAUUAUUUCGAGUAAAACGGUACUAAUAACUAUGUUUACAAAUAUGUUAUCAAACUACCAAAAAGCUUGAGGAACUGAAAAACUACAAUAGGACACUUAGGACAAAUAGGUUCACUUAUCAAAAUAUAAUUAUUAUUGAGCUUCCAUAUUUUUUUUUUUUUUCGAAAUUGAUUGCUUUGUUCAGAAAUUUGGCGUUAGAUAAUCUAUAAUCAGUUGAUAACGAAUUAUUUGAUAAACAUUGCGGUUGAUCGGUGUGAAUAGUAUUUCUAGUAUAAGAGUAAUAAUUCCUAUGUUUACAAAUAUGUUACCAAACUACCAAAAUUUUAAGGAACUAAAAAACUACCGUAGGACACGGUUAGGUUCACUUACCAAAAUAUAAUUGAUAAUGGACUUCUAUAUAAAUUUACUUUGUUAUUGAAAUUAUUUACUUUGAUCAGAAAUCGGGCGUUAGAUAAUCUAAAAGUAGUUAGUUGAUAACGAAUUAUUUGAUAAACAUUGCGAUUGAUCGGUGUGAAUAUUGAUCAAACUAUCAAAACAUUUAAGGAACUAAAAUACUGCAAAAGAAUGGGAAUAGGUUCACUUACCUACGGAUAGUUAUUAAUUAGUAGCUUCUAUGUAAAUUUAGUUCUUUUUCGUAAUUAUUUACUAUGUUCAGAAACCUGGCAUUAGCUAAUCUAAAAAUAUUGAUAACGAAUUAUUUGAUAAAUAUUGCGAUUGAUCGGUGUGAAUAUUGUUUCUAGUUAAAAGGUACUAAUAACUGUUUACAAAUAUGUUAUCAAACUACCAAAAAGCUUAAGGCACUGAAAAACUGCAAUAGGACACGAUUAGGUUCACUUACCAAAAUAUAAUUGAUAAUAGACUUCUAUAUAAAUUUACUUUGUUAUUGAAAUUAUUUACUUUGAUCAGAAAUCUGGCGUUAGAUAAUAUAAAAUUAGAUAAUAACAAAUUAUUUGAGAAAAAUUGCCGUUGAUCGGUAUGAAUAUUAUUUUUAGUUAAAAGGUACUAAUAACUAUGUUUACAAAUAUGUUAUCAAACUAUCAAAACAUUUAAGGAACUAAAAAACUGCAAUAGGAUGGGAAUAGGUUCACUUACCUACGGAUAGUUAUUAUUGAGAUUAUAUAUAAAUUUAAAUGUUUUCGAAAUUAUUUACUUUGUUCAGAAAUCUGGCGUUAGAUAAUCUAAACUUAGUUGAUAACAAAUUAUUUGAUAAACAUUGCAAUUGAUCGGUGUGAAUAUUGUUUCUAGUUAAAAAGUAUUAAUAACUAUGUUUACAAAAUAUAUGCUGUCAAACUACCAAAAAAGUUAAGGAACUAAAAAACUUCAAUAGGACGGGAAUAGAAUUAUUUACCAAAAUAUAAUUGUUAUUUAGCUUCUACAUAAAUUUAGUUUUUUUUUCGAAAUUAUUUACUUUGUUCAGAAAUCUGGCGUUAGAUAAUCUAAAAGUAUUGAUAACGAAUUAUUUGAUAAACAUUGCGAUUGAUCGGUGUGAAUAUUGUUUUUAGUUAAAAGGUACUAUUAACUAUGUUUACAAUUAUGUUAUCAAACUAUCAAAACAUUUAAGGAACUAAAUAAUUGCAAUAGGACGCGUAUAGGUUCACCUACCAACGGAUAGUUAUUAUUUCGCUUCUAUAUAAAUUUACAUGUUUUCAAAAUUAUUUACUUUGUUUAGAAAUGGAGCGUUAGAUAAUCUAAACUUAAUUGAUAACGAAUUAUUUGAUAAACAUUGCGGUUGAUUGGCGUGAAUAUUAUGUCUACAUAAAAGGUACUAAUUAGUAUGUUUACAAAUAUGUUAUCAAACUAUCAAAAUAUUUAAGGAACUAAAUAAUUGCAAUAGGACGCGUAUAGGUUCACCUACCAAUGGAUAGUUAUUAUUUCGCUUCUAUAUAAAUUUACAUGUUUUCGAAAUUAUUUACUUUGUUCAGAAAUCUGGCGUAAGAUGAUCAAAAAUUAUUUGAUAAACAUUGCGGUUGAUCCGUGUGAAUAUUGUGUCUAGUUAUGUUAUCAAACUACCAAAAAUUUAAAGGAACUAAAAAACUGCAAAAUGAUGGGAAUAGGUUCACUUACCUACGGAUAGUUAUUAAUUAGUAGCUUCUAUAUAAAUUUAGAUAUUUUUCGAAAUGAUUUGCUUUUUUCAGAAAUCUGGUACUAGCUAAUCUAAAAGUAUUGAUAACGAAUUAUUUGAUAAACAUUGCGGUUGAUUGGCGUGAAUAUUAUUUCUACAUAAAAGGUACUAAUUAGUAUGUUUACAAAUAUGUUAUCAAACUAUCAAAACAUUUAAGGAACUAAAUAAUUGCAAUAGGACGCGUAUAGGUUCACCUACCAACGGAUAGUUAUUAUUUCGCUUCUAUAUAGAUUUACAUGUUUUCGAAAUUAUUUACUUUGUUCAGAAAUCUGGCGUUAGACAAUCUAAAGGUAGUAAGUAAGUAGAUAACGAAUUAUUUGAUAAACGUAUCGGAUGAUCGGUGCGAAUAUUAAUUUGAGUUAUAAGGUACUAUUUAUCAAAUAUUUUUAUCAAACUUUCAAAAUAUUUAAGGAAUUAAAAAACUGCAAUAGGACACUACUAGGUUCACUUACCAAAGUAUAAUUAUUAUUGAGCUUCCAUAUAAUUUUUUUUUUCGAAAUUGUUUGCUUUGUUCAGAAAUUUGGCGUUAGAUAAUCUAUAAUCAGUUGAUAACGAAUUAUUUGAUAAACAUUGCGGUUGAUCGGUGUGAAUAGUAUUUCUAGUAUAAGAGUAAUAAUUCCUAUGUUUACAAAUAUGUUACCAAACUACCAAAAUUUUAAGGAACUAAAAAACUACCGUAGGACACGGUCAGGUUCACUUACCAAAAUAUAAUUGAUAAUGGACUUCUAUAUAAAUUUACUUUGUUAUUGAAAUUAUUUACUUUGAUCAGAAAUCGGGCGUUAGAUAAUCUAAAAGUAGUUAGUUGAUAACGAAUUAUUUGAUAAACAUUGCGAUUGAUCAGUGUGAAUAUUGAUCAAACUAUCAAAACAUUUAAGGAACUAAAAUACUGCAAAAGAAUGGGAAUAGGUUCACUUACCUACGGAUAGUUAUUAAUUAGUAGCUUCUAUAUAAAUUUAGAACAUUUUCAAAAUUAUUUACUUUGUUCAGAAAUCUGGUACUAGCUAAUCUAAAAGAAUUGAUAACGAAUUAUUUGAUAAACAUUGCGAUUGAUCGGUGUGAAUAUUGUUUCUAGUUAAUAAGUACUAAUAAUUAUGUUUAAAAAUACGUUAACAAACUAUCAAAACAUUUAAGGAACUAAAAAACUGCAAUAGGAUGGAAAUAGGGUUCACUUAUCUACGGACAAUUAUUAAUUAGUAGCUUCUAUAUAAAUUUAGAUCCUUUUCGAAAUUAUUGACUUUGUUCAGAAAUCUGGUACUAGCUAAUCUAAAGGUAUUGAUAACGAGUUAUUUGAUAAACACUGCGAUGGAUCGAUAUGAAAAUUAUUUUUAGUUAAAAAGUACUAAUAACUAUGUUUACAAAUACGUUAAAAAACUAUCAAAAUAUUUAAGGAACUAAAAAACUGCACUAGGACGUAAAUAGGUUCACUUACCUACGGAUAGUUAUUAAUUAGUAGCUUCUAUGUAAAUUUAGUUCUUUUUCGUAAUUAUUUACUAUGUUCAGAAACCUGGCAUUAGCUAAUCUAAAAAUAUUGAUAACGAAUUAUUUGAUAAAUAUUGCGAUUGAUCGGUGUGAAUAUUGUUUCUAGUAUAAGAGUAAUAAUUCCUAUGUUUACAAAUAUGUUACCAAACUACCAAAAUUUUAAGGAACUAAAAAACUGCAAUAGGAUGGGAAUAGGUUCACUUACCUACGGAUAGUUAUUAUUUAGAUUCUACAUAAAUUUAGUUUUUUUUUUCGAAAUUAUUUACUAUGUUCAUAAAUCUGGCGUUAGAUAAUCCAAAAGUAUUGAUAACGAAUUAUUUGAUAAACAUUGCGAUUGAUCGGUGUGAAUAGUAUUUCUAGUAUAAGAGUAAUAAUUCCUAUGUUUACAAAUAUGAUACCAAACUACCAAAUUUUUAAGGAACUAAAAAACUACCGUAGGACACGGUCAGGUUCACUUACCAAAAUAUAAUUGAUAAUAGACUUCUAUAUAAAUUUACUUUGUUAUUGAAAUUAUUUACUUUGAUCAGAAAUCUGGCGUUAGGUAAUAUAAAAUUAGUUAAUAACAAAUUAUUUGAGAAAAAUUGCGGUUGAUCGGUAUGAAUAUUAUUUUUAGUUAAAAAGUACUAAUAACUAUGUUUACAAAUAUGUUAUCAAACUAUCAAAACAUUUAAAGAACUAAAAAACUGCAAUAGGAUGGGAAUAGCCUCACCUACCAACGGAUAGUUAUUAUUUCGCUUCUAUAUAAAUUUACAUGUUUUCGAAAUUAUUUACUUUGUUCAGAAAUCUGGCGUAAGAUGAUCAAAAAUUAUUUGAUAAACAUUGCGGUUGAUCGGUAUGAAUAUUAUUUUUAGUUAAAAAGUACUAAUAACUAUGUUUACAAAUAUGUUAUCAAACUAUCAAAACAUUUAAGGAACUAAAAAACUGCAAUAGGAUGGGAAUAGGUUCACUUACCUACGGAUAGUUAUUAAUUAGUAGCUUCUAUAUAAAUUUGGAUCCUUUUCGAAAUGAUUUACUUUUUCAGAAAUCUGGUACUAGCUAAUCUAAAAGUAUUGAUAACGAAUUAUUUGAUAAACAUUGCGAUUGAUCGGUGUGAAUAUUGUUUCUAGUUAAAAGGUACUAAUAACUAUGUUUACAAAUAUGUUAUCAAACUAUCAAAACAUUUAAGGAACUAUAAAACUGCAAUAAGAUAUAAAUAGGUUCACUUACCAAAAGAUAAUUGUUAUUUAGCUUCUACAUAAAUUCAUUUUUUUUUUUUCGAAAUUAUUUACUUUGUUCUGGCGUAAGAUAAUCUUAAAGUAGUUGAUAACGAAUUAUUUGAUAAACAUUGCGAUUGAUUGGCGUGAAUAUUAUUUCUACUUAAAAGGUACUAAUUAGUAUGUUUACAAAUAUGUUAUCAAACUACCAAAAAGCUUAAGGUACUGAAAAACUACAAUAGGACACGAUUAGGUUCACUUAUCAAAAUAUAAUUAUUAUUGAGCUUCUAUAUAAUUUUUUUUUUCGAAAUUGUUUGCUUUGUUCAGAAAGUUGGCGUUAGAUCAUCUAUAAUCAGUUGAUAACGAAUUAUUUGAUAAACGUUGAUCGGUGUGAAUAGUAUUUCUAGUAUAAGAGUAAUAAUUCCUAUGUUUACAAAUAUGAUACCAAACUACCAAAAUUUUAAGGAACUAAAAAACUACCGUAGGACACGGCCAGGUUCACUUACCAAAAUAUAAUUGAUAAUAGACUUCUAUAUAAAUUUACUUUGUUAUUGAAAUUAUUUACUUUGAUCAGAAAUCUGGCGUUAGGUAAUAUAAAAUUAGUUAAUAACAAAUUAUUUGAGAAAAAUUGCGGUUGAUCGGUAUGAAUAUUAUUUUUAGUUAAAAAGUACUAAUAACUAUGUUUACAAACAUGUUAUCAAACUAUCAAAACAUUUAAGGAACUAAAAAACUGCAAUAGGAUGGAAAUAGGGUUCACUUAUCUACGGACAAUUAUUAAUUAGUAGCUUCUAUAUAAAUUUAGAUCCUUUUCGAAAUUAUUGACUUUGUUCAGAAAUCUGCCGUUAGAUAAUCUAAAAGUAUUAUUGAUAACGAAUUAUUUGAUAAACAUUGCGAUUGAUCGGUGUGAAUAUUGUUUUUAGUUAAAAGGUACUAAUAACUAUGUUAACAAAUAUGUUAUCAAAUCAUAGAAACAUUUAAGGAAAUAAAAAACUGCAAUAGGACGCGAAUAGGUUCACUUACCAACGGAUAGUUAUUAUUUCGCUUCUAUAUAAAUUUACAUGUUUUCAAAAUUAUUUACUUUGUUCAGAAAUCUGGCGUUAGAUAAUCUAAAAGUAUUGAUAACGAAUUAUUUGAUAAACAUUGCGAUUGAUCGGUGUGAAUAUUGUUUUUAGUUAAAAGGUACUAUUAACUAUGUUUACAAUUAUGUUAUCAAACUAUCAAAACAUUUAAGGAACUAAAUAAUUGCAAUAGGACGCGUAUAGGUUCACCUACCAACGGAUAGUUAUUAUUUCGCUUCUAUAUAAAUUUACAUGUUUUCAAAAUUAUUUACUUUGUUUAGAAAUGGAGCGUUAGAUAAUCUAAACUUAAUUGAUAACGAAUUAUUUGAUAAACAUUGCGGUUGAUUGGCGUGAAUAUUAUGUCUACAUAAAAGGUACUAAUUAGUAUGUUUACAAAUAUGUUAUCAAACUAUCAAAAUAUUUAAGGAACUAAAUAAUUGCAAUAGGACGCGUAUAGGUUCACCUACCAAUGGAUAGUUAUUAUUUCGCUUCUAUAUAAAUUUACAUGUUUUCGAAAUUAUUUACUUUGUUCAGAAAUCUGGCGUAAGAUGAUCAAAAAUUAUUUGAUAAACAUUGCGGUUGAUCCGUGUGAAUAUUGUGUCUAGUUAUGUUAUCAAACUACCAAAAAUUUAAAGGAACUAAAAAACUGCAAAAUGAUGGGAAUAGGUUCACUUACCUACGGAUAGUUAUUAAUUAGUAGCUUCUAUAUAAAUUUAGAUAUUUUUCGAAAUGAUUUGCUUUUUUCAGAAAUCUGGUACUAGCUAAUCUAAAAGUAUUGAUAACGAAUUAUUUGAUAAACAUUGCGGUUGAUUGGCGUGAAUAUUAUUUCUACAUAAAAGGUACUAAUUAGUAUGUUUACAAAUAUGUUAUCAAACUAUCAAAACAUUUAAGGAACUAAAUAAUUGCAAUAGGACGCGUAUAGGUUCACCUACCAACGGAUAGUUAUUAUUUCGCUUCUAUAUAGAUUUACAUGUUUUCGAAAUUAUUUACUUUGUUCAGAAAUCUGGCGUUAGACAAUCUAAAGGUAGUAAGUAAGUAGAUAACGAAUUAUUUGAUAAACGUAUCGGAUGAUCGGUGCGAAUAUUAAUUUGAGUUAUAAGGUACUAUUUAUCAAAUAUUUUUAUCAAACUUUCAAAAUAUUUAAGGAAUUAAAAAACUGCAAUAGGACACUACUAGGUUCACUUACCAAAGUAUAAUUAUUAUUGAGCUUCCAUAUAAUUUUUUUUUUCGAAAUUGUUUGCUUUGUUCAGAAAUUUGGCGUUAGAUAAUCUAUAAUCAGUUGAUAACGAAUUAUUUGAUAAACAUUGCGGUUGAUCGGUGUGAAUAGUAUUUCUAGUAUAAGAGUAAUAAUUCCUAUGUUUACAAAUAUGUUACCAAACUACCAAAAUUUUAAGGAACUAAAAAACUACCGUAGGACACGGUCAGGUUCACUUACCAAAAUAUAAUUGAUAAUGGACUUCUAUAUAAAUUUACUUUGUUAUUGAAAUUAUUUACUUUGAUCAGAAAUCGGGCGUUAGAUAAUCUAAAAGUAGUUAGUUGAUAACGAAUUAUUUGAUAAACAUUGCGAUUGAUCAGUGUGAAUAUUGAUCAAACUAUCAAAACAUUUAAGGAACUAAAAUACUGCAAAAGAAUGGGAAUAGGUUCACUUACCUACGGAUAGUUAUUAAUUAGUAGCUUCUAUAUAAAUUUAGAACAUUUUCAAAAUUAUUUACUUUGUUCAGAAAUCUGGUACUAGCUAAUCUAAAAGAAUUGAUAACGAAUUAUUUGAUAAACAUUGCGAUUGAUCGGUGUGAAUAUUGUUUCUAGUUAAUAAGUACUAAUAAUUAUGUUUAAAAAUACGUUAACAAACUAUCAAAACAUUUAAGGAACUAAAAAACUGCAAUAGGAUGGAAAUAGGGUUCACUUAUCUACGGACAAUUAUUAAUUAGUAGCUUCUAUAUAAAUUUAGAUCCUUUUCGAAAUUAUUGACUUUGUUCAGAAAUCUGGUACUAGCUAAUCUAAAGGUAUUGAUAACGAGUUAUUUGAUAAACACUGCGAUGGAUCGAUAUGAAAAUUAUUUUUAGUUAAAAAGUACUAAUAACUAUGUUUACAAAUACGUUAAAAAACUAUCAAAAUAUUUAAGGAACUAAAAAACUGCACUAGGACGUAAAUAGGUUCACUUACCUACGGAUAGUUAUUAAUUAGUAGCUUCUAUGUAAAUUUAGUUCUUUUUCGUAAUUAUUUACUAUGUUCAGAAACCUGGCAUUAGCUAAUCUAAAAAUAUUGAUAACGAAUUAUUUGAUAAAUAUUGCGAUUGAUCGGUGUGAAUAUUGUUUCUAGUAUAAGAGUAAUAAUUCCUAUGUUUACAAAUAUGUUACCAAACUACCAAAAUUUUAAGGAACUAAAAAACUGCAAUAGGAUGGGAAUAGGUUCACUUACCUACGGAUAGUUAUUAUUUAGAUUCUACAUAAAUUUAGUUUUUUUUUUCGAAAUUAUUUACUAUGUUCAUAAAUCUGGCGUUAGAUAAUCCAAAAGUAUUGAUAACGAAUUAUUUGAUAAACAUUGCGAUUGAUCGGUGUGAAUAGUAUUUCUAGUAUAAGAGUAAUAAUUCCUAUGUUUACAAAUAUGAUACCAAACUACCAAAUUUUUAAGGAACUAAAAAACUACCGUAGGACACGGUCAGGUUCACUUACCAAAAUAUAAUUGAUAAUAGACUUCUAUAUAAAUUUACUUUGUUAUUGAAAUUAUUUACUUUGAUCAGAAAUCUGGCGUUAGGUAAUAUAAAAUUAGUUAAUAACAAAUUAUUUGAGAAAAAUUGCGGUUGAUCGGUAUGAAUAUUAUUUUUAGUUAAAAAGUACUAAUAACUAUGUUUACAAAUAUGUUAUCAAACUAUCAAAACAUUUAAAGAACUAAAAAACUGCAAUAGGAUGGGAAUAGCCUCACCUACCAACGGAUAGUUAUUAUUUCGCUUCUAUAUAAAUUUACAUGUUUUCGAAAUUAUUUACUUUGUUCAGAAAUCUGGCGUAAGAUGAUCAAAAAUUAUUUGAUAAACAUUGCGGUUGAUCGGUAUGAAUAUUAUUUUUAGUUAAAAAGUACUAAUAACUAUGUUUACAAAUAUGUUAUCAAACUAUCAAAACAUUUAAGGAACUAAAAAACUGCAAUAGGAUGGGAAUAGGUUCACUUACCUACGGAUAGUUAUUAAUUAGUAGCUUCUAUAUAAAUUUGGAUCCUUUUCGAAAUGAUUUACUUUUUCAGAAAUCUGGUACUAGCUAAUCUAAAAGUAUUGAUAACGAAUUAUUUGAUAAACAUUGCGAUUGAUCGGUGUGAAUAUUGUUUCUAGUUAAAAGGUACUAAUAACUAUGUUUACAAAUAUGUUAUCAAACUAUCAAAACAUUUAAGGAACUAUAAAACUGCAAUAAGAUAUAAAUAGGUUCACUUACCAAAAGAUAAUUGUUAUUUAGCUUCUACAUAAAUUCAUUUUUUUUUUUUCGAAAUUAUUUACUUUGUUCUGGCGUAAGAUAAUCUUAAAGUAGUUGAUAACGAAUUAUUUGAUAAACAUUGCGAUUGAUUGGCGUGAAUAUUAUUUCUACUUAAAAGGUACUAAUUAGUAUGUUUACAAAUAUGUUAUCAAACUACCAAAAAGCUUAAGGUACUGAAAAACUACAAUAGGACACGAUUAGGUUCACUUAUCAAAAUAUAAUUAUUAUUGAGCUUCUAUAUAAUUUUUUUUUUCGAAAUUGUUUGCUUUGUUCAGAAAGUUGGCGUUAGAUCAUCUAUAAUCAGUUGAUAACGAAUUAUUUGAUAAACGUUGAUCGGUGUGAAUAGUAUUUCUAGUAUAAGAGUAAUAAUUCCUAUGUUUACAAAUAUGAUACCAAACUACCAAAAUUUUAAGGAACUAAAAAACUACCGUAGGACACGGCCAGGUUCACUUACCAAAAUAUAAUUGAUAAUAGACUUCUAUAUAAAUUUACUUUGUUAUUGAAAUUAUUUACUUUGAUCAGAAAUCUGGCGUUAGGUAAUAUAAAAUUAGUUAAUAACAAAUUAUUUGAGAAAAAUUGCGGUUGAUCGGUAUGAAUAUUAUUUUUAGUUAAAAAGUACUAAUAACAAACAUGUUAUCAAACUAUCAAAACAUUUAAGGAACUAAAAAACUGCAAUAGGAUGGAAAUAGGGUUCACUUAUCUACGGACAAUUAUUAAUUAGUAGCUUCUAUAUAAAUUUAGAUCCUUUUCGAAAUUAUUGACUUUGUUCAGAAAUCUGCCGUUAGAUAAUCUAAAAGUAUUAUUGAUAACGAAUUAUUUGAUAAACAUUGCGAUUGAUCGGUGUGAAUAUUGUUUUUAGUUAAAAGGUACUAAUAACUAUGUUAACAAAUAUGUUAUCAAAUCAUAGAAACAUUUAAGGAAAUAAAAAACUGCAAUAGGACGCGAAUAGGUUCACUUACCAACGGAUAGUUAUUAUUUCGCUUCUAUAUAAAUUUACAUGUUUUCAAAAUUAUUUACUUUGAUCAGAAAUUGAGCGUUAGAUAAUCUAAAAUUAGUUGAUAACGAAUUAUUUGAUAAACAUUGCGGUUGAUUGGCUUUAAUAUUAUUCUUACUUAAAAGGUACUAAUUACUUGUUUACAAAUAUGUUAUCAAACUAUCAAAACAUUUAAGGAACUAUAAAACUGCAAUAAGAUGUAAAUAGGUUCACUUACCAAAAGAUAAUUGUUAUUUAGUUUCUAUAUAAAUUUAGUUCUUUUUCGAAAUUAUUUAUUUUGUUCAGAAAUCUGGCGUUAGAUAAUAUAAACUUAGUUGAUAACAAAUUAUUUGAUAAACAUUGCGAUUGAUCGGUGUGAAUAUUGUUUCUAGUUAAAAGGUACUAAUAACUAUGUUUACAAAUUUAUAUUUAUUUAUUUAUUUAUUAUUAAAAAAAAAGAACACAAUAUUCCUAACCUAAAAGUACAUGUUAUUAUCCGCAACAUGCUUCGUCAGCAUGUUUACAAAUAUGUUAUCAAACUAUCAAAAUAUUUAAGGAACUAAAAAACUCCACUAGGACGUAAAUAGGUUCACUUACCUACGGAUAGUUAUUAAUUAAUAGCUUCUAUGUAAAUUUAGUUCUUUUUCGUAAUUAUUUACUUUGUUCAGAAACCUGGUAUUAGCUAAUCUAAAAGUAUUGAUAACGAAUUAUUUGAUAAACAUUGCGAUUGAUCGGCGUGAAUAAUAUUUCAAUUUUAAAGGUUCUAAUAACUAUGUUUACAAAUAUGCUAUGAAACUAUCAAAAAAUUUUAAGGAACUAAAAAACUUCAAUAGGACGGGAAUAGAAUCAUUUACCAAAAUAUAAUUGUUAUUUAGCUUCUAUAUAAAUUUAUAUGUUUUCGAAAUUAUUUACUAUUGUUCAGAAAUCUGGCGUUAGAUAAUCUAAAAUUAGUUGAUAACAGAUUAUUUGAUAAACAUUGCAAUUGAUCCGUGUGAAUAUUGUUUCUAAUCAAAAGGUACUAAUAACUAUGUUUACAAAUAUGUUAUCAAACUAUCAAAACAUUUAAGGAACUAAAAAACUGCAAUAGGAUGCGAAUAGGUUCACUUACCAAAAUAUAAUUGUUAUUUAGUUUCUAUAUAAAUUUAGUUCUUUUUCGAAAUUAUUUACUUUGUUCAGAAAUCUGGCGUUAGAUAAUAUAAAAGUAUUGAUAACGAAUUAUUUGAUUAACAUUGCGAUUGAUCGGCGUGAAUAAUAUUUCUAUAUUAAAGGUUCUAAUAACUAUGUUUAGAAAUAUGCUAUGAAACUCUCAAAAAAUUUUAAGUAACUAAAAAACUGCAAUAGGAUGGGAAUAGGUUCACUUACCUACGGAUAGUUAUUAUUUAGAUUCUAUAUAAAUUUAUAUGUUUUCGAAAUUAUUUACUUUGUUCAGAAAUCUGGCGUUAGAUAAUCUAAACUUAGUUGAUAACAAAUUAUUUGAUAAACAUUGCAAUUGAUCCGUGUGAAUAUUAUUUUUAGUUAAAAAGUACUAAUAACUAUGUUUACAAAUAUGUUAUCAAAUUAUCAAAACAUUUAAGGAACUAAAAAACUGCAAUAGGAUGGGAAUAGGUUCACUUACCUACGCAUAGUUGUUAUUUAGAUUCUACAUAUAUUUAGUUUUUUUUUCGAAAUUAUUUACUUUGUUCAGAAAUCUGGCGUUAGAUAAUCUAGAAGUAUUGAUAACGAAUUAAUUGAUAAACAUUGCGAUUGAUCGGUGUGAAUAUUGUUUCUAGUUAAAAGGUACUAAUAACUAUGUUUACAAUUAAGUUAUCAAACUACCAAAAAAUUCAAGGAACUAUACAACAAGGAACUAUAACAGGUUAUAUAUAAUUUUUACGAAAUUAUUUAUUUUGAUCGGAAAUCAGGCAUUAACUAAUCUAAAAAUAUUGAUAACGAAUUUAUUUAAAAAACGUUGCGAUUGAUCGGUAUGAAAAUGAUUUCUAGUUAAAAAAUACUAAUUAGUAUAUUUACAAAUAAUAAUAUGUUAUCAAACUAUCAAUAAAAUUACGGAACUAAAAAACUACAAUAGGACUCGAAUAGGUUCAAUUACCAAAGGUCAUUGCUAUUUAGCUUCUAUAUUAAAAUAAUUCUUCUUCGAAAUUAUUUACUUUGUUCAGAAAUCUGGCAUUAUCUAGUCUAAAAGUAUUGAUAACGAAUUUAUUUAAAAAACGUUGCGAUUGAUCGGUAUGAAAAUGAUUUCUAGUUAAAAAAUACUAAUUAGUAUGUUUACAAAUAAUAAUAUGUUAUCAAACUAUCAAUAAAAUUACGGAACUAAAAAACUACAAUAGGACGCGAAUAGGUUCAAUUACCAAAGGUCAUUGCUAUUUAGCUUCUAUAUAAAUUUAGUUAUUUUUCGAAAUUAUUUACUUUGUUCAGAAAUCUGGCAUUAUCUAGUCUAAAAGUAUUGAUAACGAAUUUAUUUAAAAAACGUUGCGAUUGAUCGGUAUGAAAAUGAUUUCUAGUUAAAAAAUACUAAUUAGUAUAUUUACAAAUAAUAAUAUGUUAUCAAACUAUCAAUAAAAUUACGGAACUAAAAAACUACAAUAGGACGCGAAUAGGUUCAAUUACCAAAGGUCAUUGCUAUUUAGCUUCUAUAUUAAAAUAAGUCUUCUUCGAAAUUAUUUACUUUGUUUAGAAAUUUGGCAUUAGCUAAUCUAAAAGUAGUUGAUAGCGAAUUAUUUGCUAAAAAUUAAAGAUAAAACCUAAUGGUGAUAAAACAAUAAAUUUCCAUCUAUUGAUCUUUAUUGUUGUAAUCAUCUUUACAAAUAAAUCCUGACCUAUAAUAUUUGUGAUAGGUAAACAUAAAAUAUAAAAAAAAUAAUUCAGCUGAUAUAGCCUUGUAUGACCAUUCAAUAUACUCGUGCAUCAUUCCAUUGGAUAAUUCUAUCAAUCGUAUAUUAAUGAAUACCUACAUAAUAAUAUGUUCGGUUGUUAUACAUAUUUAUUUUAAUGUAUAUAUAUGUAAUUAUAUAAGUGUACAGAUAUGUAUGUACUGGUUCAUGGUAUUUCUGUAAAGAUGUGACGUUGUGGUAUUUUUGGUAGGUUUAUCGUUAUUUAUGACUCAUGAAUGCAUUGAUUCGGGAUAAUAAGUUAAGAAAGAGAUAAAAUUUACAUGUGCGUCAUUAUUGAGUUUUAUUGAAGUGAACGUGAUUGAUAUUUACUUUCCUUGGGGAAUUCAUACAAACGAUAAAUCGACAUAAAUACCUUUUAAAUAAGCCAUCAGUGCACCGCUGCGUAAACUUAUACAAUUUUGACUUCUAGCGAGUAUUUGGCCUAAUUGCUUCGUACUAUAUAAGGUUAUAACAAGUUUCGACCCAAAAUAUUUGUUACCUAGUCCAAUUAAAUUUUAUAACUAGAAUCAAUCUAUAGUUCUUAGGUUUAAAUGAAUUCUUGCUUGCAGAUUCAUCCGAUGUGAAAUUAAAUUGCACAUAUCAAUUAGCGGUUUGCGUUAACAAUGCAUCCAGUACACUUAACAUAAUGGGCACUUGUCGUUUGUAUGUUAUGUGAACAUAUUGGUUUUUGGGCUUUGCAUUACUUUGUUUGAUUGUCGGAUUGUUAACUGAGUUAACUGUUAUGAACGAACAUCACGUUGCACUGGUUAUUUAAAUGGCAUGAAUAUUCAAAGUUUUUUCAGAUUUAGCACCCCUAGCUAGCUAGCCCUCUUCGCGAAAGCUAAAUUCUUUAAUUUCAAAGUUUCGUUCGAUUAUCUCAACAGCUGAAUCCAUGCGAUUUAUUUACAGAGCAAAACCUAAAAAAAACCUAAAUCGGGAUGUAUAAAACAAAGUACCUAUUAGUGUAAAAAUUAUUUCCAACGGCUCUGGCUUUUAACAUAACCUAGAGUACAAUAACCACGCGUCGCAUGCAAACUAUUAGGUACCUAUCUGUCAUGGUGUUCCGAACAUUAUCAUGUUUGAUUCGACUGCUUUCAAAUCAUUUAAAACAUAAUAUUAAAUGUAUCCUUCCAAUUAUUUAUAUUUCAGAAGCUGUAAACGUUAACAAAUAACAUUAUAACUUAAUGUAAUUAUUUGCCAACGCUUGUUCUGCAGAGCCCGUUAUGAUUGCAUCGUUUCAUCGUUCUAACGGCGGAUGGUUGGUUGCAUCUCGUAUCCCGUUUACCGGCAAACAAAACUUAAAGAUCUCGAGACGAGUUGAGGACGCGGGGGGCUCCUUAAAUAUUGAUCAGCGUUAAUGUUUCAUCGUAACUUUUCGAAAAGUUAUCUAAACAUUUCAAGGUAUAUUAUAGUUUACCAAAAAUAAUAUAAAUAUUAUAGUACUCUGGGACUGCUAAUUAAAAACAAAACCAAUAACGUUUUACGCUAAAAUUAAUACGACGUUAACUAAUUUGGCGUCUCUAAAAAUCUAAACACCGUGAAUAACUCGACAUUAAAUGAAGUUAAAAGCAACUUUAGCAAGGAUAAAUUUUACUAUACUACUACAUACAAAAUUAACCCGGGUAAUUAGUACAUAACACCACCUAAUUUGAAUAAAAGAAAUUCGGUAAAUCCGGUUCCGGUGUGUUAGAUUCAAAGAGCAAUAGUUAAGUGGAACUAACCAAAUCAGAAAACAAAAAAGAAAACAAAAGCUAGAUUUAGGAGAUACAAUAAUUGUUUACAAUGUUUGAUUUUCAGAUGUAUUUUUUUAUCUCGGAGUCGGCAGGCAGGGUUUUCGUGGCACGGAUACGAUAGGCAGCGAUAUUUCAAAUACCUUGCGUUCAGGAGCCGACUUAUAGUGGAAAUAGGCAGGCGUGAAAACAGUUUUAAUUUUAAACAAUGUUUUUUUUUGUAAAUCCACUUUUUUUAUAUAAUGUUUAAAAUCUUAUUCCGCUAAAAAAACUUGUCUUUGUGAUGCAUAAAAUAUUGUGUAAAUUUUAAAAUCACCAAACCAAAUUACCUAAAUAAAGAUCUAAUAGUAGUAGCAUAUCUUUUAUUCAAUUAAAACAAAUGAUUUUCAGGUUCACUAUGCAUAUAUUGCGUAGUAAAAAAAUAUGAUUUCAGUACUAUUUUCAGGAUUUGAAACUAAAUGCAGUAUAUACCGGGCGAUGACUAAAUAGGUUUUUUUUUAAAAAGAUCUAAUAAGUCAGGUAAAUUAUAAGUAAUUUUUUUAAUUACGAAGCUUUCUUAAUAUUCUUUAGAUGGAAAAUAGAUUAAUAAAAAAUUAAGAAAAGGUAUUUAAAAGGUAUCUCCAGCUUAGGUCGAUCCUUUAGAAAAACUUUUUUAAUGGUUUUUAAAAUAAAAUUAGUUGCUUAAUAUUUGAUAAGCGAAGAGAGCCCAUGCUUGGUUAGCACAGGGUAAUAGGGACAUGUAUAUGACAGGAAAUAUUUUGAAGGUGUGUACAGAAAACUAAGCUGCAAAGUGGUUGCUAAACAAUAAAACUGUAUGCUUAAUUUGGUAAAUAAACACAGGCUUAGGUUGAAAUUAUUAUAAAAAGAUUAGAUAUAUAUUUAAUUAGAUGUAUGCAGCUAAAGUUACCACAACUUAAAGCAACGGGUUUUUUUAAGUUAUUCAUAGGUUAAUAAAACACUACACAUACACUGAUCUACUGUUAUAAUUACUUUGAUGAGGCUGUAAUUUAACGAUAAUAAACUUUAGAAAAUUUAUUGGAAUUUUUUGGACAAACUUCAGAUAUAUCUAUAUCUCAUUCUUCUGUAUUGUUUGUUAUUUGGUAAUUGUGGAACAUUGUUUUAAAAAGCAAUAAAAUAUGAUUGAUGAACAAUAUUAUGACUAUAUAUAAUGGAACACAUACAUACAUAUUAGAUAGACUAGGUAUGUCAAAUAUUACAUUAAAAUCACACUCAUCUAGCUUAUCUCAUUCAUAAUUAAACAUUACAGAAGAAUACACAAGAUGUUUGCUACAAAGAGCAAAUAUUUAUAUUACAGAAUAUUUAACUUCUAAAGAAGCAGGAGGUUAGGUAAUAGGGAAUAAGGUUAUUGAAAAUUUAGUAUCUAUCGCUGUUAUGAGUGCUUACAGAUUAGGAGGAUUACAGAUUAGGUUAGAUAGUCGCUCAACAAAUAAAACUUAAUUUUUAAUAACCUGCUUUAAACUUCAAAGCUUAUAUUAUAAUUAAGUUCGCUUAAAUGUAAUAUAAGUGUCAUGCGGCAGAUAUCUACUGAGUUUCUUGCCGGUUCUUCUCAGUGGAUGUUAGGUUCCGAACCGGCGGUAGUGUUUAAAAAAUGGUGUGCAUCGGUUCGCGUAAAAUCUGAUAAUAAUAAAAAUCAGUUAAAAAUAUUUGGUACUAAUAAAAGUACAAUAUAAAUAAUAAUAUAAAAAUAAUACAAAAAAAAAACAAAUUUAUUUUAAAAAAACAAAUUAAAUUAAAUUUAAAUAAUAAUAAAAUCAGUUAAAAAUAUUUGGUACUAAUAAAAAUUGAAUCUUGUUCGAAAACAGUAAUAUAUAAAAUUAAAUAAUAAUAUAAAAAUAAUACAAAAAAAAAACAAAUUAAAUUUAAAAAACAGUAAAAAAAUCGUGCAAAAUAGAUUUAAAACAUUAUUAAUAUGAACAUGAAAUUUAAUAUCGAGACAUAUUUUAGAAAACUAAAAUACAUGCAAAAUACAUAAUUAUAUAAAUAACAAUUCCCAAAAUUUUUACGUUAUACGCAUAAAAAUUCAAAAUACAUAAUUUGUGAUGCUGGUUUUACUAUCCACAAAAAGUCAAUGAAGUUGGGUGCUGUAAAAGGUAAAGGAAGAGCCCUACGAUUCCAAAAAUAUAUCGUCUUGAGAAAGGAAUUUAAACAAACUAACGAAAGUGUUUUAUAUUGUUCCGAUUUCUGCAAUAUAAAGCAUAGUUAUGUUUUUUUUUAUAUAUAAACAGGAUAAUCAACCUCAAAUGCAUUUUAUUAAUUUUAUGGAAAAGUUAACAGAAGAUUACACCAAACAUUUACAAUUUACAAAAAGUACUAAUUCCACACCAAAUUUAGCUUUGGUCUAAAAAAUAUUUUGCUCUUAAAAAUGAAUAAAAUUGCAAGAUUUUAAAGUUACAGAAAUCUGCAAGUACAACCAAAAAUAUCAUUCAUAAAUAUUUCAAAGUAACUAUGUCUUAAUUUGUAUUAUCUGUUGAUAAAAUGUAUUUUUCCGUAUUCAAAAGUACGAUUAUAGAUUUUGACGCUGGAAAUUAUGGCAUUUGCAAUUGCCAUCGUGAAAACAGGAAGAAAUUGCUACUAGGAGACUGCGGGUAUUUAUCUUGAGCCUGUCUGUACACGGCCGCGACUUCCAGAAAAAAGUUUAUUAAACUGAAUUUAUACGACGCUGCAUUUUGAAGAACAUCCUACUCAUACUCAGUACUACAUGGUCUGAAAAUAGAAUACAUAAUUAACCACAUAUUGUCUUCUCGCAUUAAGUAACUGUAUAAUCAUCGCAUAACUGUAUAAUCUCAAAACUUACUAAUUUUACAGGAGAGUGUUUUAAAGGUUUUAGAUGUGAUUUAAUAUUAACCAUGUUUGCAACAUUUAUUUUUUAAUUUUUUAAUAGCUACAUUUUCUGUCUUUUAAAGUAAGAUAAAAAUAUGUAUAAAUUUUGUUCAUAGUAGUUAAAACAUAGAUAAUAAAAAUAAAAAAACUAAAACUAAACUACGCUCUUUUGACAGUAUUUAUGAGAUACCAAAUGGUACUGGUGAUACUGGUGAUAUCAAAUGAUUCCGCAUAUUAACUCAAUUUCGAAUAUUUUUGGAUAUUGUACACUUUUAAUGCGAAAACAUGAUAUGUAGUUUUGUACGAGAGAUUUGUGUACCAUUACAACAAGCCCAAUCACAAAGAAAUUGAAGAGUAUUUUUAUUAUUCACAAUACCCAUAGAAUUUGCCUCAACGAGCAAAAAAAGGUAUGUUGUAAAUGUUACAAAUAUGAAUUUAUGAACAGUAUUUUUUAGAGGUGGUUUUCAAUGGGAUUUCGUCAAUAUUAACUUAAUCAAGCCAAAAUAAUCAAGAAUAAAAUAAUAAAUAAAUAAAAGUAAAUUAAUUUAUUUCACACGAUUAACAUUCAAAAACUAAACGCGUAAUUUGUCUUUAAAAAAAAAAUACAAAGUAAAAAAAAAAAUAACAUGAAAAUCCAAAAUAAUUUUUCUAUCUGCACCGGAUUCCAAAAUUUUAUCUAUAAUUUUUUCGGCUUCAUUUAGCUGUCGACUAUCUAUAUAUAGAUUAUUUGGAAAAAUUGUUAAAUGUGUCUUGUGUUGUAAUUAAGUCCCUUGUUUGCUAAUUUCUUGAAAAAAAAUAUUUUUACAUCUAGUUGUGGUGGUCUAAUCUGCUGGGCUUGUUUGUCGGCUGGUCUCUGUAAAAGCUUUCAUUUAUUUCAAAUUGUUCAAGAAUAUGUAUAGAGAGUUCUGCACUAUUUUUUUUUAUUAAAACCUUCUUCGUUUGUUUAUCAUUAACAUUUUUCAGUUUGUAUUCAAUAUCAGCAGAUAAAAUUGUGAAACCUGCAUUAAUGUAUUUUGUUAUCCCGCAAGUGCAUUGUUAUGAAUUAAAAAGGUUUUAUUUGUAUGUUUUGGUGUAUAACAUAUGUGGUGUAUAAUAUACUACACAUACAUAGUUAUUGAAUAGUUUUGUGGCUAUGAGAUGUUAGCUUUCUCUCUACUUAGGUAUUUUGUUUUUAAAAUCGUUGCCAUCGUUGCCUCGUUAAAUCGCUACGAUCUUCAAAUUCUUAAAGUAAAAAUAAUGUAAAAAAUUAAAAAUAAUUCGUAAAUAAAUGUAAAAUAUAGUUAAAGCGAAAACGCACACCCAAUAAAAUAAAUAAAUAAACUUACCUUAAAACCUA